GCGGCUGUGGCGGAAUUGGUAGACGCGCGAGCUUCAGGAGCUCGUGUCCUUCGGGGCGUGGAGGUUCGAGUCCUCUCAGCCGCA
rnacentral:tRNA from 1 species